rnacentral:rRNA from 1 species
UAGGGAAUCUUCCACAAUGGACGAAAGUCUGAUGAGCAAUGCCGCAAGAGUGAAGAAGGGUUUCGGCUCGUAAAACACAGUUGUUAAAGAAGAAACCUUUGAGAGUAAGUGUUCAAGGGUUGACGGUAUUUAACCAGAAAGCCACGGCAAAGUACGUG